rnacentral:lncRNA from 1 species
AUUACUGUUGGCAGAGAAGCAGAAGGAAUAUUAACAGAAUAGUUUUCCUGCUGUUGGGCAUGCAGUUUUGUCCAUCUAGAAUAAAUCUGUUGUUGGCUGAGUAGAGCAAAUUCCUGUCUGAGAGUUGGGGAAGCAUGGCUAGUGUUAAACAAGAAACUGUGUUUCAGUCUGACUUUGAUGUCUGCCUUCCUUAUGCUGUGGGCUGAUGUACAUCAGAGACAUUUUUUCCUUCAUUUUCCUCCAAUAAGAAAUCUGUUUUGCCUUUUCUGAUGGAUAUUAAAAAGAAAGAUUUUUGCUCAGUAUUUGUCAUCAUAAAUUCUCAUUGCUGCUGCUGCCCUCAAAAGGAUUGUAUAAAUGAGGGGGUGAAGCCAGCCAGUUUUGACAAAGUAGCAAUUCCUGAAGUGAAGGAAAUUAUUGAAGGAUGCAUACGACAAAACAAAGAUGAAAGAUAUUCCAUCAAAGACCUUUUGAACCAUGCCUUCUUCCAAGAGGAAACAGGAGUACGGGUAGAAUUAGCAGAAGAAGAUGAUGGAGAAAAAAUAGCCAUAAAAUUAUGGCUACGUAUUGAAGAUAUUAAGA